AUUGAACGCUGGCGGAAUGCUUUACACACGCAAGUCGAACGGCAGCACGGACUUCGGUCUGGUGGCGAGUGGCGAACGGGUGAGUAAUGUAUCGGAACGUGCCCAGUCGUGGGGGAUAACGUAGUGAAAAUUACGCUAAUACCACAUACGAUCUAUGGAUGAACGCGGGGGAUCGAAAGACCGCGCGCGAUUGGAGCGGCCGAUAUCAGAUUAGGUAGUUGGUGGGGUAAAGGCCCACCAAGCCAACGAUCUGUAGCUGGUCUGAGAGGACGACCAGCCACACUGGAACUGAGACACGGUCCAGACUCCUACGGGAGGCAGCAGUGGGGAAUUUUGGACAAUGGGCGAAAGCCUGAUCCAGCCAUUCCGCGUGCAGGAUGAAGGCCCUCGGGUUGUAAACUGCUUUUGUACAGAACGAAAAGGUUUCUACUAAUACUAGGAGCUCAUGACGGUACUGUAAGAAUAAGCACCGGCUAACUACGUGCCAGCAGCCGCCGUAA
rnacentral:rRNA from 1 species